UUACGGUAUAAACAUGAACAAAAGUUCUAGUCAUUCAUAGAAUCUCGAGUUGAGAUAUCUAAAAGGCGUUUGAUUUUUUAAAAUUAUUUCCGAAAUUCAAAACCACGUGCGCCAUAUUUUUCUGUUAAUUGAACAUUCGGAGAGUAAUUGUGAAAAAAUUCCCUGUUUUUUUCGUUACAAUUUAAGAGGAACUUUGAAGAGUAGGAAAUGAAAUUGUGAACAUCAGCGCUGACACCUAAACAAUCAUCACCGACCGUCAUAUCCCCAAAAUGAACACAAAGUGGAGUGAGUCGUUAUCCGAUCAGACGCCGUUUGAACGAUACACCACCGGUGGUAUCCGUUUUGGCAAGACGUUCUUCUUCGCCGAUAAUCCCCAUUCCGGUUGGAUUCGUCGGACGAAAAUGUACCUAUAGUGUACGUGUCCCUGAAGGAUAACUGUGAAAACGAGUGCCUGUAAGAACUGGGAUUGGAUAUAACAAAGGAAAACGAAAAGUCGGAGUGGUGGAUGAAAGCGCUGGGAUAAAGACGAAGAAAAUCCGAUUAAUUUAUCGCUCCCUCGCGUUUGUAAAAAAGAUACUAUUGGAAAGGGCCCACUGUCCCUUGGCCAUUUCCCGGCUUAUUCACGGGGGAUUCAUUAUAGCUAUUUCGAAAAUCCGACGGAAGGAGUUAACGAGACGAGAGUUUCGCGAAAUUAAAUGGGCAAAUCAAAUGCUUUUUCAAGGAAAGACUCUCGUAGUUGAAACAAUCUCGAUAUUUGGAUUUUUAUUCUAGUUCUCCAUAUGUUUCCCAUGAUGUUCCCACGACUGUUGAUGAAUUUUCUCCUAAAAUACCCUCAUUAUCACGUGUUCUAGUACUCCAUGUGCUUCACAAAGUUGAGGAGAAAAAUGAACUGAAAAAAAUCGAUGGAUCGCUGAGGCAUUCUCAUUUGCAACCAGAAAUACUGAGAUAUAAUAUGGUAAAUUGAGGUGGUGUCGCUCGUAGAUAUCGUCACAGACGGGAAAACUUUUUCCAACAAAUGAGGGGGUGGCAAGAGGCGGGAGAUUGCGCGUUCUACAGAAAUAGUGGAAGAUAAGUCGCAGCAAAAGGAGCAGGCAGCGAUACUCAGAUGGGGGAGAAAUGAGAGAAUGCCAGGCACGAAGAGAGAGAGAGGAAGGCCGGCUGAAUGAGCCAGAGGUUGGGCUGUUCCUUGAAGAUGCCAAGAGACAAAUUCACUCGGUAUAUAUAAAGGAACAGUCGUCCUUCUACCUUUAACCCACCCCCAUUACUCCCCUUGAGACUUGAGAAAUAGUCGUGAAAGAAUUUCUUAUUAGUUUGGAAAUUGAAAUCUGGAGUACGUCUGGCGACCUGUUACCUGAAAAGUGGCUUUUAUAUGCCUUUGGCUCCUGUAGAAUACGAAAAGACGGGGGAUACAUAGAGAGUAAACAUUAGGGUGGGGCUCGGAAUGGCUCGGGACAGAGCAAAUUGGGGAAUUAUGUCAGAUGAAUCCAAAAGGCCGAUUGAACUUUGGCCUCCCUGUGAACCACACCACGAAUAUUCCCCUGCAAUUCAUGGGAUCUCUCGCAAUUUAGGGUGAUCUGAGCCCUCAUUGAGAGAAAGUAGUCUCGAUUAUGAUGUGUCGACUGCACAGCACGCACUCAAAGCCGGCGACUCGGUUAAUACUGGACAUAUAACAUUGUAUUCCAGGGGGAGCUUUGUGCAAAUGCCCUCGGGCAUCUCUCGAUUCUCGCCACACCCGCAGUCUGUUGCAAUGUCUGCCUUCAACUCCUCCCUUUGGUUAAUUUGCAUCUAUACAAAAUAUUUAUGUGAUGGUGUUCUCGGUUGUCUUGAACGGAGAGUUUAAUCCAUUCAACAUGCACAUGACCUCUGGCAUUAUUGCUAAUUUGCAAUGUAGAAAAUGUAUGGAAAAAGGGUGAAACGAAUUUCCUAACCACCUGCAUACACUGGAUAAACAGCCAUUUUGAUUUUCGUUAUAAUAAAAUGGCUGCUGUGUAAACGUGACCAGACAUGUCCCUGAUUUAUUGCACUACAUUUUGCCCAGUUCGUACAACACCGGACCAGCGUUAACUCAUCCAACCUCGAGUAUACAUGUCGCAGUGGACCCUUGGGACUCUACGUGCACGCUGUAUCCCCAUCGUUUGACACUGGAUUCUAUAAUGGAUCGAACGUUUAAGUAACACUGUGGAAUAUAUCGGCAUUUAUGUUACACGGGGAAAAGGCACUUGCGAACACUGCACGAGCUUUUCCAAUGACAUUUACCUGUUUACCCCGGACCACAUUGGAUUAUGGAUUUAUUGAUUAGGGAGUCAUUAGUGGGGACAUUAAUUUCACGGGGGAAGAGGAAUAACUGUUGCAGAAUUUUCUCAAUAUUUCAUUUCACGGGAAAUUGGGAGGAAAUUCUGCUUGAUGUGGGGUAAUAGAUGCGAUAUUACGAUGUUUCCCUUAUCCCUGUGACCCGUCCUGGAGGCCCAGGCUGCCGCGUCAUCCACUUAUCAUUUAUAAUGCUAGUGAUCAUAAAUACAUAUAAAUAAUUUUACUCGCGCUCGACCGAAAUUAAUUAAUAUUUUUUUUUAAAUUCUACAGAAUUACAUUUUGACAAGUUCAAUAAGAUCAAAAACAAUAACAAAACAUAAAAAAGUUUGAUCAAUUUCCCUACAGCGGAAGACUUUAAUUUUUAAUUAUCGUUCCUCCAAUCACAAAAUUUCUCGAUCCGACAAUUCACCCUCUCACAUUCUGUAUAAUUCCAUUGAACCUCAGUAAUUUUCCUGAUAAUGAACGAACGUAAUUAAAUUUGAUUUUGGAAAAUAGUUGGUCGCAACUUUCACCGAGAAUGAUUCAAUGUGAAUUCGUUACAAGAGUAAUACCCCGAUGGCAUUGUGAUAGUCACUCGAACCAUGGCCGUGGGAGUUUCCCGUGAGCUUCAACACCGGGGCAUCAGCAGUGGAGCAGUUUAAACCGUCGAUGGUUAUGGCGAUGCUGAUGAGUAUACCUCCAUCACCCCUUUACGAGCUAACGUCCCGCUGUGGCGUGUUUCCAGUUUAUGUAAUGUGUGGUCAUGCUGUAUUCCAGGUUGUGCAUGUGAAUGUAGUUGGGCAUAAAUUAACUGGACAUUGCUCCUCUUUCCGGCAGUGGACACUGGUUGGAUGUAACGACAUUUCAACAUUUUUCCCGAUUGAUUGUGGUAAGUAACUGAUACCGAGAUUUGUCUUCCAAAGAGUUCAAAUUAUUUUGCAAUUGUAUUUAUUUCCCCAUCGAAAAUAAAUUCAUUCGUGUUUUUUCUUCUCGCAAACAUCUUCCUUAUUAUGAAUCAAUUACCCUCACCUCCAGAGCAAGUCCAAGAUCUCUUAAUAGUUAAGAAGUCAAGAUAUAGUUCUCAGAAAACUUUUCCUUUUCUCCGCGUUGUAUAAAUUAAUCUGAAACGAAUUUACCUCCACCGAAAAACCUCGGAACAAUGAGAGUAAUAUUGUUUGAAGUUGAAAGCGUAAAAAUAAAGGUAAUCCUUCUGGGUAUUUUGCACAAGUGGGCAAACAAG